GGAAUUUUCCGCAAUGGGCGAAAGCCUGACGGAGCAACGCCGCGUGAGGGAUGAAGGCCUCUGGGCUGUAAACCUCUUUUAUCAAGGAAGAAGAUCUGACGGUACUUGAUGAAUAAGUCACGGCUAAUUCCGUGCCAGCAGCCGCGGUAAUACGGGAGUGGCAAGCGUUAUCCGGAAUUAUUGGGCGUAAAGCGUCCGCAGGCGGUCUGUCAGGUCUGCUGUUAAAGCGUGGAGCUUAACUCCAUUUCGGCAGUGGAAACUGACAGACUAGAGUGUGGUAGGGGCAGAGGGAAUUCCCGGUGUAGCGGUGAAAUGCGUAGAUAUCGGGAAGAACACCAGUGGCGAAGGCGCUCUGCUGGGCCAUAACUGACGCUCAUGGACGAAAGCCAGGGGAGCGAAAGGGAUUAGAUACCCCAGUAGUC
rnacentral:rRNA from 1 species